CUUCUCCGCACUGUGCUGGGCACUGGGGAUGUGAAGAUGAGUGAGACAGGCUCAUGUCUGGGAAGAAUGGAGACAGAUGGAGAACACAGAGCUCUAUGCUGCGGGUAUAAGGGCAUAAUGAGGGCUUGCAAGAGGAACAGUUCGUUUUCCGGGGGUGAUGGCUCAGAGACAAGCUGGGAUACUAAGCUGCCUGAAGGGUUUGCAUUUCCCAUGGUGCCCAGUGCAGUGCCGAGAAUGAACUUGUAGACCCUUUAUUGCUGUGGCUAAGAUGGAGGAGGUUUGGAAAUCUUUGACAGCUGAGCCCUGUGACAGAAGAGAACAAGAAUUCCUGGUCCUCCCAACACCUCGGAACAACGUGUGAAAUGAAAGACCUCAGGUGCUGUAUUGGCUCUUGACAGCUCUUCAGAAGAAAAUACCUCCUGCCUGUUCUGUUCAGUCCUGGUGCAGGUGGUCCUGGACAACACUUUGAAAAAUGCUGGGGCAGAAACAAGCCAGCAAGCAUAUGGGAUUCAUCUGCUGUGAGUGAUAAUUUAUCUAGUUUCUAAAAAUAGUGUUAUAGGCUGGACUGUGUCCCCUUCCUGUGCCCCGCCGCCAUGCAUAUAUGGACGCCUAGUACCUCAGAAUGUGACUGUAUUUGGAAACAGGGCCUUUGAAGAAGUAAUUAAGUUAAAAUGAGGUCAUUAGGGUGGGCAGUAAUACAGUAUAACUGGUGUCCUUAUAAGAAGAGAUUAGGACACAGAUGCACACAGAGGGAAGACCAUAUGAACACAGAGGGAGAAGACAGCCACCUGCAAGCCACAGAGAGAGCCCUUCAAAGAAACCAACCCUGCAGACAAUUUGAUCUCAGGUUUCUGGCCUCCAGAAUUGUGAGAAAAUAAAUUUCUGUUGUUUAAGUCACCCAGUCUGUGGUAUUUUGUUAUGGCGGCGAAGCUAACGAACACAAACAGAAGGCUGAUUUCACUUAAUAAUCAUCUCAGAAGGCAGAGAUUGCUUCAAACUAUUGCAUAAACAAGGCUGGUUUGUGAACCAAAGGACAUGAGCCCCAAACCUGGAGUCGCAGAGGCAGCAUGACA
rnacentral:lncRNA from 1 species